rnacentral:rRNA from 1 species
UACGUAGGGUGCAAGCGUUGUCCGGAUUUAUUGGGCGUAAAGAGCUCGUAGGCGGCUUAGCAAGUCGGAAGUUAAAACAAGAGGCUCAACCUCUUGUCGCUUUCGAUACUGCUAUGGCUUGAGUCUGGUAGGGGAUCACGGAAUUCCAGGUGUAGCGGUGAAAUGCGUAGAUAUCUGGAGGAAUACCGGUGGCGAAGGCGGCAUCCUGGACCGACAUUGACGCUGAGGAGCGAAAGCUAGGGGAGCAAACAGG